GGUGGAGUAAUUUGUCUGGUUUAUUCCGAUAACGAGCGAGACUCUAGCCUGCUAAAUAGAACGAGGAUAAACCUUUUCAUAGGUCCUCGAUGCUUCUUAGAGGAAUUAGCGGUGCUUAGCCGCACGAGAUUGAGCGAUAACAGGUCUGUGAUGCCCUUAGAUGUCCGGGGCUGCACGCGUGCUACACUGGAAGACUCAACGUGCUCUCCAUCGCCGAAAGGUGUUGGCAAACCGUUGAAACUCUUCCGUGACUGGGAUAGGGAAUUGUAAUUAUUUCCCUUGAACGAGGAAUUCCUAGUAAGUGUGAGUCAUCAGCUCGCGCUGAAUACGUCCCUGCCCUUUGUAC
rnacentral:rRNA from 1 species